rnacentral:rRNA from 1 species
UGCAAGUCGAGCGGAUCUUUAGAAGCUUGCUUCUAAAGAUUAGCGGCGGACGGGUGAGUAACACGUGGGCAACCUGCCUGUAAGACUGGGAUAACUUCGGGAAACCGGAGCUAAUACCGGAUAAUCUGUUCCCUCGCAUGAGGGAAUGCUGAAAGACGGCUUACGCUGUCACUUACAGAUGGGCCCGCGGCGCAUUAGCUAGUUGGUGAGGUAACGGCUCACCAAGGCGACGAUGCGUAGCCGACCUGAGAGGGUGAUCGGCCACACUGGGACUGAGACACGGCCCAGACUCCUACGGGAGGCAGCAGUAGGGAAUCUUCCGCAAUGGACGAAAGUCUGACGGAGCAACGCCGCGUGAGCGAAGAAGGCCUUCGGGUCGUAAAGCUCUGUUGUUAGGGAAGAACAAGUAUCGGAGUAACUGCCGGUACCUUGACGGUACCUAACCAGAAAGCCACGGCUAACUACGUGCCAGCAGCCGCGGUAAUACGUAGGUGGCAAGCG